GACGAACGCUGGCGGCGUGCCUAAUACAUGCAAGUCGAGCGGAAUGAUGAAGAAGCUUGCUUCUUCUGAUUUUAGCGGCGGACGGGUGAGUAACACGUGGGCAACCUACCUUGUAGAUUGGGAUAACUCCGGGAAACCGGGGCUAAUACCGAAUAAUCCAUUUUGCUUCAUGGCGAGAUGUUGAAAGACGGUUUCGGCUGUCACUAUAAGAUGGGCCCGCGGCGCAUUAGCUAGUUGGUAGGGUAAUGGCCUACCAAGGCGACGAUGCGUAGCCGACCUGAGAGGGUGAUCGGCCACACUGGGACUGAGACACGGCCCAGACUCCUACGGGAGGCAGCAGUAGGGAAUCUUCCACAAUGGACGAAAGUCUGAUGGAGCAACGCCGCGUGAGUGAAGAAGGUUUUCGGAUCGUAAAACUCUGUUGUAAGGGAAGAACACGUACGAGAGUAACUGCUCGUACCUUGACGGUACCUUAUUGGAAAGCCACGGCUAACUACGUG
rnacentral:rRNA from 1 species